UAGGGAAUCUUCGGCAAUGGGGGCAACCCUGACCGAGCAACGCCGCGUGAGUGAAGAAGGUUUUCGGAUCGUAAAGCUCUGUUGUAAGAAAGAAACUGUUGGGGGAGUGGAAAGUUCCACCGGUAACGUAAAUUUACAGGAAAGGAAGGGCUAACUCGUUCCAAGCAGCCGCGGUAAUACGAAGGUCCCGAGCGUUGUCCGGAUUUAUUGGGCGUAAAGCGAGCGCAGGCGGUUUAAUAAGUCUGAAGUUAAAGGCAGUGGCUUAACCAUUGUUCGCUUUGGAAACUGUUAAACUUGAGUGCAGAAGGGGAGAGUGGAAUUCCAUGUGUAGCGGUGAAAUGCGUAGAUAUAUGGAGGAACACCGGUGGCGAAAGCGGCUCUCUGGUCUGUAACUGACGCUGAGGCUCGAAAGCGUGGGGAGCAAACAGG
rnacentral:rRNA from 1 species